CUUCUUGUAUAUAUUUGAAGUCGUGCCUGCCCACUGAANUAUUUAAGGGCCGCGGUAUUUUGACCGUGCAAAGGUAGCAUAAUCAUUAGUCUUUUAAUUGGGGGCUGGAAUGAAAGGUUUGACGAAACAAGAACUGUCUCGGAAUUAUUUAUUGAAUUUUACUUUUAAGUUAAAAGGCUUAGAUGUUGAUGGGGGACGAGAAGACCCUAUAGAUCUUUAUAAAGNGAUUUUUUGUUUUUUGUUUUGUUGUAGUAUANAUUAAUAAUAAAUUUUUUAUUUCAUUGGGGUGAUGAGAGAAUAUUAUAACUUCUUUAAUUAUUACUUUGAUAGAUGGUUNAAAUGGUCCUGNUAUUAUGGAAUUAAGAUUAAGAUACCUUAGGGAUAACAGCGUAAUUUUGUUGGAGAGUUCUUAUCGAUAAUGAAGAUUGCGACCUCGAUGUUGGAUUAGGAAUAUAGUUGGGUGCAGAAGUUCAAUAUAUUGGUCUGUUC
rnacentral:rRNA from 1 species